rnacentral:rRNA from 1 species
AACGUAGGUACCGAGCGUUAUCCGGAUUUACUGGGCGUAAAGCGUGUUCAGGCGGCCUGGCAAGUCGGGCAUGAAAUCUCUCGGCUCAACCGGGAGAGGCUGUCCGAUACUGCUGGGCUUGAGGACGGUAGAGGGUGGUGGAAUUCCGCGUGUAGUGGUGAAAUGCGUAGAUAUGCGGAGGAACACCAGUGGCGAAGGCGGCCACCUGGACCGUCCCUGACGCUCAAACACGAAAGCUAGGGUAGCGAACGGGAUUAGAAACCCCCGUAGUCC